GCCGCCGGGCGGGUCCGGAGCGGCAGGAACGAGCGCGUCGCUCGCUGCCCGUGGUGAGGACUGGGGAGCUCCGGGUCCAGCCUCUCGUCAGGCGUGCCCGCCUCUCGGGGAACCCUGGCAGCUCCCUUGGGAGAACGGGGAGGUUGCGGAGGCCGCAGGUGUUCAACGCCUCCCAGUCUCCAGCCGAAGGCUCUUCGGUUGGGGAGAGAAAAACAAAUGGGGUUAUCAGCGUUUGAGCCCAAGUGAGUUCUCUGGGGAGAUGCUGGGAAUAACAGGGCUGGGAAUUAAACUGGAAAUGAAAACCCUGAUUUAAGUUCUCCCCUUCCAGUGCAGUAGAUCUUCCCCCGCCCCCGCAAAGAAAAAUACCCAUGCAUAAGCUGUAUGUCAUUCCAUAACCCCUUUGUGUGGUUUUUUGAGCUGUGUUUUGACACAUUUCCCACCCCUCUGUUGGGCAUAUCGGUGGAGUGACUGGCCAGCUGUGUCCCAGGCUGUCAGGUUCUUUGAGCCUGCAUAGGUAAUACCCUUCUUUGCUUUUGUUACCGUUCAAAUCCCACUGCUGUCAGAAACAGUGCUGCAAAGGAAACGGAGAAGCUUAUGUAUCACUACAGUGGCAGACCCGAGAUGGUGCAGAGCCUAGAGGGUUAAAGCAACAGGAUGAAGUCAGCACAAAGCAGCCCACAAAGGCUGGCAAAUAAAUAAAUCAUCCUAAUUACGUUAUUAUUAUGGCUUGCCUGAGGUUCAUUGUCUCUUUCUUUCUUACCUGAAUCUCUGUUACAUUUUUCUCCUUGUUCGAGAGCAGUAAUCAAAGGAGACUGUGAGCACUAAAUGGCUUCUGCCCAUUUUGAUGUUGCUAAAAAUACUACCUUACCUCUCCAUAUCCAGAGGUCAAUUGAAAAAUCAAAAUAAUGACUUCAGCACCCUCCUUUGCACUGAUGGCUGUAGCUCAGGGAGGCUUCCCCAGGCACUUGGAAAUUGCAUUUCUUGAUACAGCUUGUAGGACUGGCAGAUGUGUUCUGCACAGUUCUGUCCUCUCCUAGCUCUAAGGCAGAUAAAACUAGCUGUGGUACAACUAAAGGAGAUGAUGUGUUUAACGCAUUGCAGUUUGGGUACGUGUCUGUACCUGCUUCUGCUUGUCUUGAGGAAAGGUACCACUGCAGCCCAGCACCAUUGCAGUCCUAGACAAGAUGAAAGAGCGGAACGAUAUUUCAUGAACAAGGGCACAAUGUCUACAUGCAAAGAAAAAACAAACCAAAGCACAAAUCCUGGAAUUGAUGGAGAAUCUGACCAAUUAAAAGACUUUGAUCAGGCAUGAGAGAGUAGAAGGGAAAAAACAGAGCAGAGUAGGAUAGCAAUAAUUUACAUUACUAUUAAGAGUAGAGGAAAAAAACAUGUUUGGGAAGCUUUCCAUGAUAAAAAAAAAAAUAAAACCAAGUAUGGAUGGUGAUGAAACGGUAUGACCAUAGCUGCCUCUUAGAAAGUGAGAAAUGACUGGUGAAUGCAUGUAUGCUAUCACUCCAUAAAUAACUACUGAAAAAUGCAUAAAGUGGGCACCCAACAACCUGCAUGGAAGUGACUUUUCCUACAUAACACUUCCCUGGUUUAGAGCUGAUACUUUCUCUGCCAUGGCCAGACACGUGCCAAUUAAGACUUGAAUUCCUAAAGGGUGGCCAAGGUUUUAAGCAAGGCUGUCCUGGAAGCAAUUUGGUCCAGUUCACUAGGAGUGUUUGUUAAAAAUACACUGCUGUUGCUGUCUCCCUGGACCUGCUGUUAACCAUCAUCUCUUGGUGUCUGUCCUCAGUAUGGAUAUGUGUUGCUCAUGCACUCACCUAUCACCCCAGGACUCAAAAUGUGACAGUGUCCAUUAUACUUACUAAAGUGCAAAAGUGCUUUUGGGGGUUCAUGGUAUGUACAAUUCUGGACUGAAAUAAAAGUUUUAGUUCUUGGUUUGUGA